rnacentral:rRNA from 1 species
GACGAACGCUGGCGGCGUGCUUAACACAUGCAAGUCGAACGGAAAGGCCCUGCUUUUGUGGGGUGCUCGAAUGGAGAACGGGUGAGUAACACGUGAGUAACCAGCCACUGACUUUGGGAUAACUUCAUGAAACUGGGGCUCAUACCGCCUAGGAUCUACUGCUGCAGGGUGGGGGUUGGAAAGUUUCGGCGGUUGGUGGUGGAAUCGCGGCUUAUCAGCUUGUUGGUGGGGUAGUGGAUUACCAAGCCCUUGAGCGGUAGCCGGGCUGAUAUGGUGACAUGCCACGUUGGGACUGAGCUACGGCCCAGACUCCAACGGGAGGCAGCAGAGGGGAAUAGUACACUAUGGACUGAAGCCUGAUGUAGCACCGCCGCGCGCGGGAAGACAGGAUUCGGUUUGUAAUGCGCUUUCGCCUGAGACGAAAUGUGAGUGACGGUAAUGGGUAAAGAAGCACCGGCUAACUCCGUG